UGAGAAGGUAUAGAUGUGUCUCAGAC
rnacentral:piRNA from 1 species